UACGAAGGGGGCUAGCGUUGCUCGGAAUCACUGGGCGUAAAGGGCGCGUAGGCGGCCGUUCAAGUCGGGGGUGAAAGCCUGUGGCUCAACCACAGAAUUGCCUUCGAUACUGUACGGCUCGAGACCGGAAGAGGUGAGUGGAACUGCGAGUGUAGAGGUGAAAUUCGUAGAUAUUCGCAAGAACACCAGUGGCGAAGGCGGCUCACUGGUCCGGUUCUGACGCUGAGGCGCGAAAGCGUGGGUAGCAAACAGG
rnacentral:rRNA from 1 species